rnacentral:rRNA from 1 species
GAUGAACGCUGGCGGCGUGCCUAACACAUGCAAGUCGAGCGAAGCACUUACUUUAGAUUUCUUCGGAAUGACGAAGUUUGUGACUGAGCGGCGGACGGGUGAGUAACGCGUGGGCAACCUGCCCUGUACAGGGGGAUAACAGUUAGAAAUGACUGCUAAUACCGCAUAAGCCCACAGCUUCGCAUGAAGCAGUGGGAAAAACUCCGGUGGUACAGGAUGGGCCCGCGUCUGAUUAGCUAGUUGGUAAGGUAACGGCUUACCAAGGCGACGAUCAGUAGCCGACCUGAGAGGGUGACCGGCCACAUUGGGACUGAGACACGGCCCAAACUCCUACGGGAGGCAGCAGUGGGGAAUAUUGCACAAUGGGGAAACCCUGAUGCAGCGACGCCGCGUGAGCGAUGAAGUAUUUCGGUAUGUAAAGCUCUAUCAGCAGGGAAGAAAGUGACGGUACCUGACUAAGAAGCCCCGGCUAACUACGUG